AUUGGCAGCGCUUUAGCAUGAACCCAACAAGGAAACAAAAAAAAUUCACAACACAAAGUAUUUCUAGUUUUUCCACUGUCUCUUGCCAAUGGCAAACUUACAUUUUAUUCCAUCCGGUUCUAAAAGGAAUUGACAACACAGAGUAUUUCUAGUUUUUCCAGUGUCCAGUCUACUGUAUAUGUCCAAUAUAUGGGUAAAAUAUCAAACAUCGACUCGACACGACAGGCCGCCCCCCUCCCUCUCCGAGCUAAACAAAACAACGCUUCUGGACCCUCUGGCCUCAUCAUGAUGUACAAAUUACACAUCAAGUAAUAAACACAUGUACACACACACUAGUCUCAACAAGAAAAUUUUACCAUGCGGAAAAACGCAACAGGAAAAUUAACCCGCAGACACGUCUGCCCAUCAACCCGCGCAAACCGCUCCCAACUAGGAGGGGAAAGGGCGUGCCUUGCGACUCAAAACCAAAUACACCGCUCGCUCCUGUGCUGAUCAAGCAGCCGUUCACCGACAAGACCAUCUUGGGGGCAGACUCAUAUUGCCCCAACUUGUGCACACUGAAAAUCUGCGGUAUAUUCUAGCCUAGAAGGUCCUUGAAAAGAUUUGGGUUGUUCCCUGUUGGAGUCACGCCAACCUGCCUCGCGGUGGCGUCCUUCUGCAACGCAUCUUGAAGGCUAUGGCCCUUUUUUGUCGUUGCUCCUUUUUGUGCGGGUUCUGUGGAUGCACUGGUGGCGCCAGUUUGUACAUCAUCUGAGAAGAUGGACAUAAGGUCUGGUGUGUUGGAAGCGCUGGGAGCUGAGGUUCCAGAAAGCGCGGGAGAGGCUGAUGCUGGUCCAAGGAGCCCAUCUAACUGUGAGAAGGGGUCAGCAGAUGGAGCACUUGAUGAAACAGGCUCUUCACCCAGAUCCAACAGAUCUGGUGGUGGGGCAGCAGGGGUUACUUGCUCCUUAGCAGGCUGAGGUGUUACUUUCUCAGUCGAGGAACUCUCUUUUGCUGCCUUCCGACCAGCAUGUCCCUUGCGAUUAGGUUUAGCAGCUGAGGAACCAAAAAGUGAAGCAGCCAGCCGUUGCUUUUCUGCUGAAACUUCUGUUCCCUGCUGCUGACUCUUAGAACCAUACGAGGACUCCCUUGCCUGUGAAGUUACCAACCCUCCCCCGUCAGAGUUGGAACCCCCAUUGGCUGCUUGUUGGCUAGAGGUCGAGCUUGAAGGUGUAGAAGAGGAGGCAUAUGAUUCCCUUCCCCAUUUCUUUUGAACCCCAUCAAGACGAAGUUUGGCACCAAAUUCACCAGAAACUGCAUUGCCUGAUUGCUGGGACCUUGCCUGAUGAUGGUCUUCCCUAUAGUGACUUGGUUCUGGAACUGGAACAAGGUCAGUAGUCGGCAGGGAAACACUACUUUGUGAGGUUGCUGUAGGUAGUGAAGGUUUAGGUAGCUCAUAGGCUUCAAAUCUAAGAGCAUGAGCAGAUGUCUCAUGUUGGUCUUGGGCUCUGUAGUUACCAACACUUACAACGCCUGAGCGUUCACUUUCAGGAAUGUAAGGUGUCGCGCCAUUUUCCAAGGCUUGCUGCACAUAACUGUUCAGAAAUGUGAGGUUUUUAUCG
rnacentral:lncRNA from 1 species